rnacentral:snRNA from 1 species
UGGCUUUGACAGCACAUACACUAGGAUUGGAAUGAGACAGAUAUUAGCAUGGCCUCUGAGCUAAUAUGACCCUUACAUUUAUGAAGAAUUCCAUAUUUUU